GGAAGGAUCAUUAACACUUUUUUAUUCUUCUUUUUCUUUUUUCAUCUUUCAUUAGAGGAAAGAAAAAGAAAAAACCAAAAAAAACCCUUAUUUUGUCUGUUUCUUCUUCUUGAAGAAAUGGGCAAGAUUAGGAACACCUUUUUUUAGUGUGAACUUGUUGAAGUUGGUAAUCGUAACGCUUGUUUGCGUCACAAUUAUCAUUCUUUUUCAAAACUCCCUUUUAUUUCUUUCAUGAGACUGAAUUUUAUGUGUGUAAUGAGUGUGUGUGUGUGUGUGAGUUGUUUGUUAGCUCGUUGUCGAUAAACUUCAACUAGCUAACUAACUAACUAAACUUAACCCCACGCACUAACUAACUAACUACAACAAAAACAAAGAAAACCAAAGACAACUUUUAACAACGGAUAUCUUGGUUCUCGCAACGAUGACGAGCGCAGCGAAAUGCGAUACGUAAUGUGAAUUGCAGGAUUCAGUGAAUCAUCGAACUCUUGAACGCAACUUGCGCUGGUGGUUCUACCAUCAGCACACCUGUUUGAGCAUCGUUUUCAUAAUCACACCCUCUUAACACUAUGUGUUUUUAUGUGUGUGGAUGUUGACUGUUUAAUCUCUCUCCGAGGUUAAUCAGUUGAAUGUUAGAGCUUAUUUUGUUUUUUUUGCAAUUUUUUGUUCUCUUCAAAAAGAACAAAUCAGCAAAAAAGGCAACAACAACAACAACAAACCAUUUUUAAAACAUCUUUCAUUUGCUUGUUUUCUAAACAAAAACAAAACAAAAACGAAAGUUGGUUUUUUAGGCUAAGAGCGCUUUUCACAAUUCUUUUGUGAUUUCCUCUUUUUCACUACCAACUUCUUUCUUUUGUUUUGUUUGAGUGUUUGUUUGUUCGGUGUUGUGUAAAAAAAUCAAAAAGCACAAACAACAAAUAGUAGCAACAUUAGUGCUGCUGCUAUUCAUAAAAACUUUCGAUCUCAAAUCAGGCGAGAUUACCCGCUGAAUUUAAGCAUAUCAAUAGGCGGAGGAAAAGAAACUAACUAGGAUUCCCUCAGUAACGGCGAGUGAAGCGGGAAAAGCUCAGAAUGAAAAUCUCCAUGGAUUCGUUCCGUGGCGAAUUGUAGUUUUGUGACCGGCAUUUACGGGCGAGCGGCAGAGGCGUAAGUCUUCUGGAAAGGAGCACCAUGGAGGGUGAGAGUCCCGUGUCUGCCUCUGCAAAGAACGCUUGUCGAACACGUACUGCCGGCUCGAAGAGUCGAGUUGUUUGAGAGUACAGCUCUAAAUGGGUGGUAAAUUUCAUCUAAAGCUAAAUAAUGGCGAGAGACCGAUAGCGAACAAGUACCGUGAGGGAAAGAUGCAAAGAACUUUGAAAAGAGAGUUAAAAGUACUUGAAAUUGUUAAAGGGAAGCGAUUGGAACCAGUAUCUGCAUGCCGUGCAAUCAGCCAGCCGUCGCGGCGUUGGUAUGGGUGUUUGGUCGUUCAGGGAUCCUUGGUGGUCUCGCGACUAGCAUUGCCUUGACGCUUGGCGGCUGGUGCACUUGUGCGGUAACAUUUAUUGCGUGUCAGCGUGAGUUGAGGCAUGCGGGAUAAAGGCAGAGAGGAAGGUACUAAGCGGAUCGGCUCAUGUCGGUUGUCAGCUUGGGUUAUAGACUCACUGCAUUUCACUACCGUUGCUUAUUCGACUGAGGCGCCCUUAUGGGCGUGGACGACCGCUCCUCCGAGGGCUGGGUGGUUUGUCUGUGGGCGGUGGCCAGUUGUGAGACCUGCCUAGCAGUGCUUGUGACUGUUUUGUCUGCUGUCGACCAGGUGGACAUUCACAGAGUCGUCAAGGACGCUGGACGAAAUGGUUUCAAAACGACCCGUCUUGAAACACGGACCAAGGAGUCUAACAUGUGUGCGAGUACUUGGGUGUCAAACCCAGGAUGCGUAAUGAAAGUGAAGAGCCGCAAGGCUUGAGGUGGGAAAUCGGCCUCUUUGUGAGCGACCGGCUGCACCAUCGACCGACCUUGAUAUUUUUGGAUAGGUUUGAGUGAGAGCAUACCUGUUGGGACCCGAAAGAUAGCGAACUAUGCCUGCAUAGGGUGAAGCCAGGCGAAAGUCUGGUGGAGGCUCGUAGCGAUACUGACGUGCAAAUCGUUCGUCAAAUGUUGGGUAUAGCGGCGAAAGACUAAUCGAGCUGUCUAGUAGCUGGUUUCCUC
rnacentral:misc_RNA from 1 species